rnacentral:rRNA from 1 species
GAGUGAUCGAAAGAUGAAAAGCACUUUGGAAAGAGAGUCAAAAAGUACGUGAAAUUGUUGAAAGGGAAGCGCUUGCAACCAGACCUGCCCGCGGGUGAUCAGCCGUCCUUCGGGGCGGUGCACUCACCCGCGAUCAGGCCAGCAUCGGUUCGGGCGGCCGGAUAAAGGCCUUGGGAACGUGGCUCCCCUCGGGGAGCGUUAUAGCCCAGGGUGCAAUGCGGCCCGCCCGGACCGAGGACCGCGCUUCGGCUAGGAUGCUGGCGUAAUGGUUGUAAGCGGCCCGUCUUGAAACACGGACCAAGGAGUCGACCAACCGUGCGAGUGUUUGGGCGUCAAACCCACACGCGCAAUGAAAGUGAACGGAGGUGGGAACCCCUCGCGGGGCGCACCAUCGACCGAUCCAGAUGUCUUCGGAUGGAUUUGAGUACGAGCAUGGCUGGUCGGACCCGAAAGAUGGUGAACUAUGCCUGGAUAGGGUGAAGCCAGAGGAAACUCUGGUGGAGGCUCGCAGCGGUUCUGACGUGCAAAUCGAUCGUCAAAUUUGGGCAUAGGGGCGAAAGACUAAUCGAACCAUCUAGUAGCUGGUUCCAGCCGAAGUC